rnacentral:rRNA from 1 species
CUACGGGUUGCAGCAGUGAGGAAUUUUGCGCAAUGGGGGAAACCCUGACGCAGCAACGCCGCGUGAGUGAAGAAGGCCCUCGGGUCGUAAAGCUCUGUCAAGUGGGAAAAACUACUUAUGGUUAAUAGCCAUAAGUUCUGAUGGUACUACUGGAGGAAGCACCGGCUAACUCCGUGCCAGCAGCCGCGGUAAUACGGAGGGUGCAAGCGUUGUUCGGAAUUACUGGGCGUAAAGAGCGUGUAGGCGGUUUGGUAAGUCGGAUGUGAAAUCCCUGGGCUUAACCCAGGAAGUGCAUUUGAUACUGCCGUUCUUGAGUAUGGGAGAGGAGAGUGGAAUUCCCAGUGUAGAGGUGAUAUUCGUAGAUAUUGGGAGGAACACCCGUGGCGAAGGCGACUCUCUGGACCAAUACUGACGCUGAGAUGCGAAAGCGUGGGGAGCAAACAGGAUUAGAUACCCCAGUAGUC